rnacentral:rRNA from 1 species
GACGAACGCUGGCGGCGUGCUUAACACAUGCAAGUCGAACGGAAAGGCCUGCUUUCCCUUGUGGAUUGCGGGUACUCGAGUGGCGAACGGGUGAGUAACACGUGAGUGAUCUGCCCCCAACUUGGGUAUAAGCCUGGGAAACUGGGUCUAAUUCCCGAUAGGACUGCAGGGUGGUGCCUGUGGUGGAAAACGAUUUUCUAGUGGUUGGGGAUGAGCUCGCGGCCUAUCAGCUUGUUGGUGGGGUAAUGGCCUACCAAGGCGGCGACGGGUAGCCGGCCUGGGAGGGUGGACGGCCACAUUGGGACUGAGAUACGGCCCAGACUCCUACGGGAGGCAGCAGUGGGGAAGAAUGCACAAUGGGCGGAAGCCUGAUGCAGCGACGCCGCGUGGGGGAUGACGGCCUUCGGGUGGUAAACUCCUUUCGACCGCGAGGAAGCCACCUGGUUGGAAGGGUGGUGACGGUAGUGGUAGAAGAAGCACCGGCUAACUACGUG